GGGCCCGUGGCCUAGCCAGGAUAGGGCGCCGGCCUUCGGAGCCGGAGACCCCGGGUUCAAAUCCCGGCGGGCCCACCA
rnacentral:tRNA from 1 species